rnacentral:rRNA from 1 species
CCUACGGGCGGCAGCAGUGGGGAAUAUUGCACAAUGGGGGAAACCCUGAUGCAGCAACGCCGCGUGAGUGAAGACGUAUUUCGGUAUGUAAAGCUCUAUCAGCAGGGAAGAAGAAAGACGGUACCUGACUUAGAAGCCCCGGCUAACUACGUGCCAGCAGCCGCGGUAAUACGUAGGGGGCAAGCGUUAUCCGGAUUUACUGGGUUUAAAGGGAGCGUAGACGGCUGUGCAAGUCUGAGGUGAAAGCCCGGGGCGCAACCGCGGAACUGCUUUGGAAACUGUAUAGCUUGAGUACUGUUGAGGCAGGCGGAAUGGCUGGUGUAGCGGUGAAAUGCGUAGAUAUUA